rnacentral:rRNA from 1 species
GACGAACGCUGGCGGCGUGCUUAACACAUGCAAGUCGAACGGAAAGGCCCUGCUUUUGUGGGGUGCUCGAGUGGCGAACGGGUGAGUAACACGUGAGUAACCUGCCCUUGACUUUGGGAUAACUUCAGGAAACUUGGGCUAAUACCGGAUAGGAGCUCCUGCUGCAUGGUGGGGGUUGGAAAGUUUCGGCGGUUGGGGAUGGGCUCGCGGCUUAUCAGCUUGUUGGUGGGGUAGUGGCUUACCAAGGCUUUGACGGGUAGCCGGCCUGAGAGGGUGACCGGCCACAUUGGGACUGAGAUACGGCCCAGACUCCUACGGGAGGCAGCAGUGGGGAAUAUUGCACAAUGGGCGGAAGCCUGAUGCAGCAACGCCGCGUGCGGGAUGACGGCCUUCGGGUUGUAAACCGCUUUCGCCUGUGACGAAGCGUGAGUGACGGUAAUGGGUAAAGAAGCACCGGCUAACUACGUG